AUGCGCCCUGACACCAUACUUGACUACCUGGGAGCACAGAGCAGUCACCAGAAAGAACAUUCUAUGACAUGCUGUUUUGGGAGUCUAGAGGACGGGACCGAUGAGCACAGCCUGAGCUUUGGCCAAUCACUGGACUGUCUGGAGAAGAGGCGGAUCCUCCUCACAGGUUGGAAGCCAUGUCCCCAGGAGCCUGCACCUUCCCUCACCACGCUCUCCUGUGACUUCUGGGACUUUCUCCUUUCGUCCAGGGAAAUACACUCCAUAAGCGAACUUCCUACAGGAAUGCAGGAAGGCUGGAGAGCCUCAAAGCUGCAGCCUGUCCUCCAAAGCCACUGGACUGGGGAGCAGGGCUCGCGGACCACAAUCUUAGCCUAUGGCCUGCAUGUUCUAAAGGACAUCACUGUCAUAAGGAGCGACUCACGGGCUGGCACGUAAUGCUCCUGCAGAUUAUUCUGCUAUUUAUUAUUCUCAAGAUUCAUUUAUUUAUUUGAAAGUGUGAGAGUGAGAGAGAGAGAGGGAUGGAUCUUCCAUCUGCUGGUUCACUCCCCAAAUAACCAGCACUGGGCCAGGCUGAAGCCAGGAGCUUCUUCCAGUUCUCCCCUGUAGAUACAGGGGCCCAAGGACUUGGGCCAUCUUCUGCUGCUUUCCCUGGUGUAUAAGCAGGGAGCUGGAUCUGAAGUGGAGCAGCCUGGACUUGAACCAGUGCCCAUAUGGAAUGCUGGCACUGUAGGCAGAGGUUUAACUCUCUGUGCCACACCGCUGGGCCUGAUUAUUGUUCUCGCAAGGAAGUCGUUUUAGGUGUCUAGAACCCAUUGUCAGACUGUGUGACUCCAAAAUAGUUACUAAAGUAGAUAAAGAAUCACCAAUUUCAAGGUAAAUUUGAUUACAAAUACAUAUGUGCACAUAUAUAGAAGCAAUUAAGAAAAUGCAUGCAUAUGUAUGUGAUACAUCACACAUCUAUCUCACUUAUAUUAGUAGUUUCUUAUAGGUGUCUGACAAGGCCUUAACAAGAUGUUUGCUAUGGCCCGCAUUGUGUUUCCGUGAGCUCAGCGUCCACCUGCAGUGCUGGCGUCCCAGAUCAGAGUACUUGGUUCGAGUCCUACCUGCUCCACUUCUACACUAGCCCUCUGCUGACACACCUGGAAAAGUAGCAGAAGAUGGACCUAGUCCUGUGCCCCUGCCACCCACAUGGGAGACCAGGAUGAAGUUUCCGCUUCCUGGCUUCAGCCUGGCCCAGUCCCAGCCAUUGUGGCCAUCUGGGGAGGAAACCAAUGGGUGCAAUCUCUUGUCUCAUGCUCGCUCUCUCUGCCUUUCAAAUACAUUGAACAACCUUUCUUAACACAUUUGCUGAUUUAUUAAUAGGCUACCUGUUGAAAUGAGAUCAGGAUAAUUAUUUUGAGUCUAUCAUCACAGUAUAAACGUAUAAGGAAAGAGAAACAAGCCAAAAUAAGGUUUUCACACUUGUGCUGAGUCCUACGAACUACAGUCUAUUGCUGGACUUUGAAAAAUUUUUCAUUUUUAUUUGAAAGGGAGUGGGAGAGAGAGAAAGAUGGAGAGACACAUCCCUCUACCCUCAGGUUCACUUUAUAGAUGCCUACAACAAUCAAGAUUGGCUGGCUGGCACUGUGGCUCAAUAGGCUAAUUCUCCGCCUACGGCGCCGGCACACCAGGUUCUAGUCCCGGUCGGGGCGCCGGAUUCUGUCCCGGUUGCACCUCUUCCAGGCCAGCUCUCUGUUGUGGCCUGGGAAGGCAGUGGAGGAUGGCGCAAGUCCUUGGGCCCUGCACCGGCAUGGGAGACCAGGAUAAGCACCUGUCUCCUGCCUUAGGAUCAGCGCGGUGUGCCGGCCAUUGGAGAGUGAACCAAUGGCAAAAAGGAAGACAUUUCUCUCUUUCUCUCUCUCACUGUCCACUCUGCCUGUCAAAAAAAAAAAAUAAAAAAAGACUGGGCCGAGGACA
ensembl:lncRNA